CUGAUAUUUUAAGAUCUAUGUAAAAAUUCUAAAUCUAAAGAAUACAGUUCUCUCUGACUUCCCUUUAACACCCAGUCUGCCAACCAAACUAGACAACCUCAUAAGACAGUAGUGCUUCGGCACAAUCAAAACUGGAUGACAUUAAGAAGCACCCAUUUGAUAUCAUAUUUAGAGUUUUGGUUGGAGUACCGAAUUUAAUUGUUUUUUGCAUUAUGGUUUUUCACGCUAUUUGUAAGAAGGACCCGUCACCAAGAGGGCUCAACAAAGAAAAUAUGGCAGCUAUAUCAUCCAAUGUAUCAGCUUGUCAACUCGAUAUAACAACUGAAGAUCAUCUAGAAACCCAGCUUUUACCAUUAAAUGUAAAUCAGCAUCCGGGCCCUCAUGCCAAGAAAAACUAUGUAUAACAAGCAGUGCAAUAAAAUAAAUUCAGCCUUCAA